UUGACCUCAAAUCAGGUAGGACUA
rnacentral:ncRNA from 23 species